GAUGAACGCUGGCGGCGUGCCUAAUACAUGCAAGUCGAGCGAACGGACGAGAAGCUUGCUUCUCUGAUGUUAGCGGCGGACGGGUGAGUAACGCGUGGAUAACCUACCUAUAAGACUGGGAUAGCUUCGGGAAACCGGAGCUAAUACCGGAUAAUAUUUUGAACCGCAUGGUUCAAAAGUGAAAGACGGUCUUGCUGUCACUUAUAGAUGGAUCCGCGCUGCAUUAGCUAGUUGGUAAGGUAACGGCUUACCAAGGCAACGAUGCAUAGCCGACCUGAGAGGGUGAUCGGCCACACUGGAACUGAGACACGGUCCAGACUCCUACGGGAGGCAGCAGUAGGGAAUCUUCCGCAAUGGGCGAAAGCCUGACGGAGCAACGCCGCGUGAGUGAUGAAGGUCUUCGGAUCGUAAAACUCUGUUAUUAGGGAAGAACAUAUGUGUAAGUAACUGUGCACAUCUUGACGGUACCUAAUCAGAAAGCCACGGCUAACUACGUGCCAGCAGCCGCGGUAAUACGUAGGUGGCAAGCGUUAUCCGGAAUUAUUGGGCGUAAAGCGCGCGUAGGCGGUUUUUUAAGUCUGAUGUGAAAGCCCACGGCUCAACCGUGGAGGGUCAUUGGAAACUGGAAAACUUGAGUGCAGAAGAGGAAAGUGGAAUUCCAUGUGUAGCGGUGAAAUGCGCAGAGAUAUGGAGGAACACCAGUGGCGAAGGCGACUUUCUGGUCUGUAACUGACGCUGAUGUGCGAAAGCGUGGGGAUCAAACAGGAUUAGAUACCCUGGUAGUCCACGCCGUAAACGAUGAGUGCUAAGUGUUAGGGGGUUUCCGCCCCUUAGUGCUGCAGCUAACGCAUUAAGCACUCCGCCUGGGGAGUACGACCGCAAGGUUGAAACUCAAAGGAAUUGACGGGGACCCGCACAAGCGGUGGAGCAUGUGGUUUAAUUCGAAGCAACGCGAAGAACCUUACCAAAUCUUGACAUCCUUUGACAACUCUAGAGAUAGAGCCUUCCCCUUCGGGGGACAAAGUGACAGGUGGUGCAUGGUUGUCGUCAGCUCGUGUCGUGAGAUGUUGGGUUAAGUCCCGCAACGAGCGCAACCCUUAAGCUUAGUUGCCAUCAUUAAGUUGGGCACUCUAAGUUGACUGCCGGUGACAAACCGGAGGAAGGUGGGGAUGACGUCAAAUCAUCAUGCCCCUUAUGAUUUGGGCUACACACGUGCUACAAUGGACAAUACAAAGGGCAGCGAAACCGCGAGGUCAAGCAAAUCCCAUAAAGUUGUUCUCAGUUCGGAUUGUAGUCUGCAACUCGACUACAUGAAGCUGGAAUCGCUAGUAAUCGUAGAUCAGCAUGCUACGGUGAAUACGUUCCCGGGUCU
rnacentral:rRNA from 1 species